ACGUCUCAGUUCGGAUUGUAGUCUGCAACUCGACUACAUGAAGCUGGAAUCGCUAGUAAUCGCAGAUCAGAAUGCUGCGGUGAAUACGUUCCCGGGUCUUGUACACACCGCCCGUCACGCCAUGGGAGUCGGAAAUGCCCGAAGCCGGUGACCCAACCAAAAGGAGGGAGCCGUCGAAGGCAGGUCUGAUAACUGGGGUGAAGUCGUAACAAGGUAUC
rnacentral:rRNA from 1 species